rnacentral:tRNA from 1 species
GCCUUCGUAGUGUACUGGUCAGCACGCUCGACGCAUAACCGAGAGGUCCGUGGUUCAAUUCCCGGCGAAGGCA